AGUGAACGCUGGCGGUAGGCCUAACACAUGCCAGUCGAACGGCAGCACAGUAAGAGCUUGCUCUUACGGGUGGCGAGUGGCGGACGGGUGAGGAAUACAUCGGAAUCUACUUUUUCGUGGGGGAUAACGUAGGGAAACUUACGCUAAUACCGCAUACGACCUACGGGUGAAAGCAGGGGAUCUUCGGACCUUGCGCGAUUGAAUGAGCCGAUGUCGGAUUAGCUAGUUGGCGGGGUAAAGGCCCACCAAGGCGACGAUCCGUAGCUGGUCUGAGAGGAUGAUCAGCCACACUGGAACUGAGACACAGUCCAGACUCCUACGGGAGGCAGCAGUGGGGAAUAUUGGACAAUGGGCGCAAGCCUGAUCCAGCCAUACCGCGUGGGUGAAGAAGGCCUUCGGGUUGUAAAGCCCUUUUGUUGGGAAAGAAAAGCAGCAGGUUAAUACCCCGCUGUUCUGACGGUACCCAAAGAAUAAGCACCGGCUAACUUCGUG
rnacentral:rRNA from 1 species